GAUGAACGCUGGCGGCGUGCCUAAUACAUGCAAGUCGAGCGAACGGACGAGAAGCUUGCUUCUCUGAUGUUAGCGGCGGACGGGUGAGUAACACGUGGAUAACCUACCUAUAAGACUGGGAUAACUUCGGGAAACCGGAGCUAAUACCGGAUAAUAUUUUGAACCGCAUGGUUCAAAAGUGAAAGACGGUCUUGCUGUCACUUAUAGAUGGAUCCGCGCUGCAUUAGCUAGUUGGUAAGGUAACGGCUUACCAAGGCAACGAUGCAUAGCCGACCUGAGAGGGUGAUCGGCCACACUGGAACUGAGACACGGUCCAGACUCCUACGGGAGGCAGCAGUAUGGAAUCUUCCGCAAUGGGCGAAAGCCUGACAGAGCAACGCCGCGUGAGUGAUGAAGGUCUUCGGAUCGUAAAACUCUGUUAUUAGGGAAGAACAUAUGUGUAAGUAACUGUGCACAUCUUGACGGUACCUAAUCAGAAAGCCACGGCUAACUACGUG
rnacentral:rRNA from 1 species